AUUGAACGCUGGCGGCAGGCCUAACACAUGCAAGUCGAACGAGUGGCGGACGGGUGCGUAAUGUCUGGGAAACUGCCUGAUGGAGGGGGAUAACUACUGGAAACGGUAGCUAAUACCGCAUACCAUCAGAUGUGCCCAGAUGGGAUGAGCUGGUAGGUGGGGUAACGGCUCACCUAGGCGACGGUCCCUAGCGGGUCUGAGAGGAUGACCAGCCACACGGGAACUGAGACACGUUCCAGACUCCUACGGGAGGAAGCAGUGGGGAAUAUUGCACAAUGGGCGCAAGCCUGAUGCAGCCAUGCCGCGGGUGUGAAGAAGGCCUUCGGGUUGUAAAGUACUUUCAGCGGGGAGGCGUUACCCGCAGAAGAAGCACCGGCUAACUCCGUGCCAGCAGCCGCGGUAAUAC
rnacentral:rRNA from 1 species